rnacentral:rRNA from 1 species
AUUGAACGCUGGCGGCAGGCCUAACACAUGCAAGUCGAGCGGAUGAAGGGAGCUUGCUCCUGGAUUCAGCGGCGGACGGGUGAGUAAUGCCUAGGAAUCUGCCUGGUAGUGGGGGAUAACGUCCGGAAACGGGCGCUAAUACCGCAUACGUCCUGAGGGAGAAAGUGGGGGAUCUUCGGACCUCACGCUAUCAGAUGAGCCUAGGUCGGAUUAGCUAGUUGGUGGGGUAAAGGCCUACCAAGGCGACGAUCCGUAACUGGUCUGAGAGGAUGAUCAGUCACACUGGAACUGAGCCACGGUCCAGACUCCUACGGGAGGCCGCAGUGGGGAAUAUUGGCCACUGGGCGAAAGCCUGAUCCAGCCAUGCCGCGUGUGUGAAGCAGGUCUUCGGAUUGUAAAGCACUUUAAGUUGGGAGGAAGGGCAGUAAGUUAAUCCCUUGCUGUUUUGACGUUACCAACAGAAUAAGCACCGGCUAACUUCGUG